CCCCAAAGUCGUUUCCUUUUCCGUUUUCUUAUCUUCCUCGCCCAACUCUGAAAAUCUCACAGAUCCAACCUCAACUCUCACAAUCAAAGACUAAUCCCAACCUCAUCUCAAAAUCAAAACCCAUGUAUCAUAUCUAAAAGAAAACCCCUCUUUUCUAACCCGAGAUUUAGAGCAAACUCUCAUCUGAUUUUAGCUCGCUCGUUUUCAGUAUGAGAGGGAGAUGUAGAAUCCUGCAUAUGGAAGCAAAUCUCAUCAUCGAAUCAAGUAUGAUAUCAAAAACUAAUCUAACCUCAUCUUUGAAUCAACACCUAUCUCAGAAUCAGAACCAUAAUCCUUUAGUAUCCCCUAAUUUUUUUACCCUAGAUCGCGUUAAUUUUUCUCCCGAAAUCAAAGCGAACCCUCAUCUCAUAUUUGAUAGAGAUGAGAGUAGAAGAAGAAGACUUCACCAUUGCAACAGAAUUUUGUGUUUAGUUGGUGGUGGUGCAUCAUUUGUUAAGGUGUUUGUGAUGAGAAAUAAUUGGAUCUGUUAUGAGAAUGGAUGCUGGUGGUGGUGAUGCAGGUAGAAAUUGGUGGAGAAUUUGACUCAAAUUUGUGGUUAGAGAAGUGAUGGGAAUAAUUUACCUUGCGGUGAGACUCUUUCACGGAGGAAACAAGGACAGAACUACAUGGAAGGAGUAUUGUUGAAUAUUUGGAUAUCAUCUGGGGACAGGGCGCUUGAGUUAUUUUCACUUGUAUAGCUCUUAUGCUAUCAACUGUGAUACAAUGGACGGGUUCAAUCUGCAGCAAACAUGACCAGAAUAAUGAAGCUGAUCCCAAAAAAAUCACGCAGACAUGAUAAAUGAUUUGCUUGCAUCCGUAGAGUCCUCUGCAGGGAUGGACGAAGUAGUAAUUCAGAAUGAUUAGAGAAGUUUAGGCCAAGUGAGCAACACCUGUGAUUCGCAACUACAUGUUUAGAAAUGAAAACGUUUAAGCUCAUUAAAGUCUUACUUCAUGGUGUUUUUCUUUGAGUGGCGGGUUUCAUGACUACAUGAUUAGAAAUGAAAACGUGUAAGCUCAUUACAGCUUUACUUCAUGGAGAUUUCUUUAAGUGGUGGGUUUCAUGGAAGCAGUGGACUCUAGAACGUCUGUUAGGACACGUUUAUUUGGUGAUUGUGGAGAAAGCCGAGCGAAGUGAUAAGAAAAAGUAUCUAGUCCCAGCUGAUUUGACUGUUGAGCAAUUUGUCUAUGUAAUCCGAAAGAGGAUCAAGUUUAGUGCAGAGAAAGCAAUCUUCAUCUUCGUGGAUAACUUCCUCCCUCCAACAGUCUCGAUGGGAUAUUAUAAAAGAAGAAUGAACUUGAUGUGUUGAAUUGAUUUAAAGAAGACAUAGCAGAGAAGGUGGGCAGGGCAUCUGGCAUGGAGCUAAAAAAGGUUUGUUAUCACCUCUUUUCUUUUUUGAUGAAUUUGUUGUUGUUAUUAUUUUGACUAAAAGACAAACUAACAGACUAAGAUUCAUAAAAUUUAACCAAGAAUGAUGUUAAUGUGCACUUUCACUUAGUUGUUUCAUUGAUGGCUUUUCUGAAUUGCUGUUAUCCUAAAUGUACGUUUAGUCUGUUAAUGGGAUGUUUGGAAGGGUCUGGCUGGUGUUUCGUUUUCUGAAAUGAAUGCAGUAUAUAUGUUCUCGAAGUCGAUUAAAGGUGGUUUGUUAGGGGAGAACAUCAUAUGUUGAACUUUACCACCAGAAAACCAAUGCGUACCAAGUAAUUACUCUGUAGAGUUUUCUUUGAUUCUGUAUGGUCUGAAUCAAAAUUAAAUUGUAGUGUCAAGUUUUAAUUUUGUUGAUAAACUUUGUCGAACUUUUCAAUCAAGUGAUUAUAGUAAUGUCUUGUACACGCUUCAAACCUUGUUAUGUAAAUUUGUUCUUCUAUGGU